UACAGAGGUGGCAAGCGUUGUUCGGAAUUACUGGGCGUAAAGGGCGCGUAGGCGGCCAUCUAAGUCAGACGUGAAAUCCCCCGGCUUAACCUGGGAACUGCGUCUGAUACUGGAAGGCUUGAGUAUGGGAGAGGGAUGCAGAAUUCCAGGUGUAGCGGUGAAAUGCGUAGAUAUCUGGAGGAAUACCGGUGGCGAAGGCGGCAUCCUGGACCGACAUUGACGCUGAACGGCGAAAGCUAGGGGAGCAAACGGG
rnacentral:rRNA from 1 species